AGCCCGCCUGGCGCGCGGGGCUCUGCGCGCUGCGACCCUCCCCGGCAGUCCCGCCCGCCUCUCCUCGCCCUCUCUCUGCCUGGCCUCCAACUUUGCCUCUCGCUAUCCUCUCCGCCGGCGCCCCCUUUCCCGGCGGUCCCCGGGAUGGUCCCCGGCACCCCGAGGACGCCGAGGUUACGGGAAGUUCGGGGACUGGCGGGAGAAGGGGUUUGGGGGUGGUCCGCGGCGAGGGGCGCGGGGUGCAUCUUCUCUUCCUUUUAUGGGCUGCCACACUUGUGUAUCCCUUCUUCCUUGAAUUUAACCAGGAGUGAGCAGUGGACAGCUUCUUCCCUAUGAGAAGGAGGUGAAGCAGGACCUGAAAUCCCGUGCUCAGCUCCCACAUGCCCCGUGUCCAGGACAAGUCCUUUGCUGAAUCAGCGGCAGACACCACCCGGAGCCCUGCGGGAGCCUUUCCCUGUUCUUCCAGCAUGGAUCUGAAACUCCCUUCCCACUUUCUGCAGCCUCCCAGAGAUAGUUCAGGCUCCAGCCUCAUGUGAUAGCAUGAAGAGAAACUGGUUCCAACAGCUGUGUGCUCUGCUGCCCUCAUCCCAAACAACAGUUUAAAUGCACAAUUACGCUUUUCUCUAAGGCCCAAAAUAGGAUAGGAAAGAUCGUUUUGCUAUCCCUGAAUGCCUGUCACCCUUGUUUCGUAAGGAAGUCAGUCCCAGAAUAGUUGUUCUGCUCCCUCCCUUCUAAUAAGUGCUGCGCUGAGUGUGCUUGCUUUGCCAGAUGGUUAAAACAGAGCAGGGGAUAGAAGGACAGAUGUCUUCACCCUCAUGGAGUUCACCUUCCAGUAGGAGGAGGCGAUAGGCCGGGGUCUGCACAUGUGCGUGCUACAGCCUGUUCCACGGUGCGUGGCGUGCGGGGCAGUAGAGACAGGAUUUCACCAUGUUGGCUAGGAUGGUCUCGAUCUCCUGACCUUGUGAUCCGCCCCUCCCUCAGCCUCCCAAAGUGCUGGGAUUACAGGCGUGAGCCACUGCACCCUGCCAGAAAACUCAUUCUUCUACUCCAUCCUACAGUUUUCCCUAAGAGAGAAACAAUAAAACGCCACCACGACCAAUGGCAAAAAGCUGGCACCCACUCCACGACUUUUCAUAUCUACACGUUUGUACAGCUUUAUUUUUAAGCAUUCUGAAAUUCUAUGCAGGAGAGACCCCAGCUAGGUUUAGGGAGUCCUAGGGUUUGUGGAGUAAAUGAAGUUUCUCCCUAGAAUUAGGGAGGGUAGAGACAGGCAGAGAACUGACAAUCCUAACAGCUGCUGUCCUCAGAGCCACUGUUUCUGAGAGCUGCUCGCUGAGUGCUUCUAGCGAGUUAAAUGGUGUUCGCCCAAAAGACCUGUUCACGUCCUGAUCCUGGGAACCUGUGGCUGUGAUCUUAUUUGGAAAAAGCUCUACAUUACGUCUUUGCAGAAGUAAUCAUGUUAAGGAUCUUGAGAGGACGUGACCCUGAAUUAUCCGGCUGUGCUUGACAUCCAAUGACUGGUGAUGUUGUAAGAGAAAGACGGAGGGAGAUGUAAGAUAUGAGAGAAGGCCACGCCGAGACUGGAGUGAUGUGGCCGUGAGCCGAGGAAUGCCUGGAGCCACCAGAAGCUGGCAAAGGCAGAAGGAGCCUCCUCUGGACCCUGUGGUGGGUACGCAGCCUGGCAGAUAUAUUCAUUUUGGACUUCUGGCCUCCAGGGCUGUGAGAGAAUACAUUUCUGCAGUUUUAAGCCACGCAAUCUGUGUCCCUGGGAAGCCCAAAUAGGGCGAGACCUUUUGCCAAGUGGUCUCCAAGUGUCACGUCAUCGAAUCCUUCUCCCGGGCUUGUGCCAUAGUCUUUCCACUUUAGAGAGGAGGAAACGGAGGCUCUGGGGCACAAAGCCAGUCAGUGGCGGGGCCUGACUUUCAACCCAGCCUGCAUGGGGUCAGAGAACCCACUUUCCCCGUGGGGCCUGCGGCCUAUGCUAAGGAUGCUUGUUCAUCUCUCCUGGGCCCGGGAGUGGUUCUUCUGGCCUAGAAGGCAAGAGAAGCCAGUCUUUCGGUUUCAAGGUUUCCCAUUAGUGGAGUCAAGCAAAAAUGGUGUGUUGCGCUUCUUCCUGAGCUCAGCCUGGGAGCACGGCCUUAACAUGCUCAGUGGAUCCCAAGACGGCAGCAUGGCGGUGCCAGCCUGGCAGCCUUAGCUCCUUGCAGCUGUGCUUGUGAAGGGAGCAGUGAGUGGCUUCCCUCUGUGACCACCUUGGGUCCUAAGUUUCACUGGGGCUGGGAUCCAUGCGUCUUGCAAUUGGCUAGGAAUUUCCCGGGCUUUCCCUCCCUUCCCUGUUCAGGGCACUGGGUGUGAGGCAUUGCAUCCGUUCUUCUGCUCACCUGCUUCCCCCUAAGAGUGUGAGCUGUAUAAAGGCAGGAACCAAACAGGAGCCUCCACGUGUUCCCAGUUCAAGGGCAGUGUCCCUUGUGUGUUUCUUCAAUAAUUCAGUGGAUGACUUAUUCUGCACGGACACUGCACACACUCGGCCCUGCCGUCUCCGGAGCUGGGAGGUGUGGAGCUGGCUCCUGACCUAUUUACACACUGAGGAGGGAUGUGGAAAACAGGAGGAGUCCCAGGGCUCCAAUGCAAAGAGGAGCCUCUUCAUUCCCUCUGCCGUGGCCGUGCAAGGGACAGCGCCUUGUGGGAUUGUGUCCUCCACCCAAUUAUCCUUAGCAUUAGUUUGCUAAGGAUAAUGGCCUCCAGCUCCACCCAUGUCCCUGCAAAGGACAUGAUCUCAUUCCUUUCUGUGUCUGCAUAGUAUUCCAUGGUGUAUAUGUACCGCGUUUUCUUUAUCGAGUCUAUCAUUGAUGGGCGCUUCAGUUGAUUCCUAGAGACAGGAUUUCACCAUGUUGGCUAGGAUGGUCUCGAUCUCCUGACCUUGUGAUCCGCCCCUCCCUCAGCCUCCCAAAGUGCUGGGAUUACAGGCGUGAGCCACUGCACCCUGCCAGAAAACUCAUUCUUCUACUCCAUCCUACAGUUUUCCCUAAGAGAGAAACAAUAAAACGCCACCACGACCAAUGGCAAAAAGCUGGCACCCACUCCACGACUUUUCAUAUCUACACGUUUGUACAGCUUUAUUUUUAAGCAUUCUGAAAUUCUAUGCAGGAGAGACCCCAGCUAGGUUUAGGGAGUCCUAGGGUUUGUGGAGUAAAUGAAGUUUCUCCCUAGAAUUAGGGAGGGUAGAGACAGGCAGAGAACUGACAAUCCUAACAGCUGCUGUCCUCAGAGCCACUGUUUCUGAGAGCUGCUCGCUGAGUGCUUCUAGCGAGUUAAAUGGUGUUCGCCCAAAAGACCUGUUCACGUCCUGAUCCUGGGAACCUGUGGCUGUGAUCUUAUUUGGAAAAAGCUCUACAUUACGUCUUUGCAGAAGUAAUCAUGUUAAGGAUCUUGAGAGGACGUGACCCUGAAUUAUCCGGCUGUGCUUGACAUCCAAUGACUGGUGAUGUUGUAAGAGAAAGACGGAGGGAGAUGUAAGAUAUGAGAGAAGGCCACGCCGAGACUGGAGUGAUGUGGCCGUGAGCCGAGGAAUGCCUGGAGCCACCAGAAGCUGGCAAAGGCAGAAGGAGCCUCCUCUGGACCCUGUGGUGGGUACGCAGCCUGGCAGAUAUAUUCAUUUUGGACUUCUGGCCUCCAGGGCUGUGAGAGAAUACAUUUCUGCAGUUUUAAGCCACGCAAUCUGUGUCCCUGGGAAGCCCAAAUAGGGCGAGACCUUUUGCCAAGUGGUCUCCAAGUGUCACGUCAUCGAAUCCUUCUCCCGGGCUUGUGCCAUAGUCUUUCCACUUUAGAGAGGAGGAAACGGAGGCUCUGGGGCACAAAGCCAGUCAGUGGCGGGGCCUGACUUUCAACCCAGCCUGCAUGGGGUCAGAGAACCCACUUUCCCCGUGGGGCCUGCGGCCUAUGCUAAGGAUGCUUGUUCAUCUCUCCUGGGCCCGGGAGUGGUUCUUCUGGCCUAGAAGGCAAGAGAAGCCAGUCUUUCGGUUUCAAGGUUUCCCAUUAGUGGAGUCAAGCAAAAAUGGUGUGUUGCGCUUCUUCCUGAGCUCAGCCUGGGAGCACGGCCUUAACAUGCUCAGUGGAUCCCAAGACGGCAGCAUGGCGGUGCCAGCCUGGCAGCCUUAGCUCCUUGCAGCUGUGCUUGUGAAGGGAGCAGUGAGUGGCUUCCCUCUGUGACCACCUUGGGUCCUAAGUUUCACUGGGGCUGGGAUCCAUGCGUCUUGCAAUUGGCUAGGAAUUUCCCGGGCUUUCCCUCCCUUCCCUGUUCAGGGCACUGGGUGUGAGGCAUUGCAUCCGUUCUUCUGCUCACCUGCUUCCCCCUAAGAGUGUGAGCUGUAUAAAGGCAGGAACCAAACAGGAGCCUCCACGUGUUCCCAGUUCAAGGGCAGUGUCCCUUGUGUGUUUCUUCAAUAAUUCAGUGGAUGACUUAUUCUGCACGGACACUGCACACACUCGGCCCUGCCGUCUCCGGAGCUGGGAGGUGUGGAGCUGGCUCCUGACCUAUUUACACACUGAGGAGGGAUGUGGAAAACAGGAGGAGUCCCAGGGCUCCAAUGCAAAGAGGAGCCUCUUCAUUCCCUCUGCCGUGGCCGUGCAAGGGACAGCGCCUUGUGGGAUUGUGUCCUCCACCCAAUUAUCCUUAGCAUUAGUUUGCUAAGGAUAAUGGCCUCCAGCUCCACCCAUGUCCCUGCAAAGGACAUGAUCUCAUUCCUUUCUGUGUCUGCAUAGUAUUCCAUGGUGUAUAUGUACCGCGUUUUCUUUAUCGAGUCUAUCAUUGAUGGGCGCUUCAGUUGAUUCCAUGUCUUUGCUACUGUGACUCGUGCUGCAAUGAGCAUUCGCGUGCAUGCCUUUAUGGUGGAAUUAUUUCUAUUCCUUUGGGUGCAUACCCAGUCAUGGGAUUGCUGGGUCAAAUGGCAUUUCUGCCUCUAGGUCUUUAAGGAAUUGCCACGCUGUCUUCCACAAUGCAAGCAAGACGUUAUUGAAAGUGUAAAGGGGGCUGCUAAUUACGCUGGGGCAGGCGGGGCAAACCAGGACCCUGCCAGGCGAGUCUAGGCCAUGGCCCCACACCAGAAGAUGAGGGCUGGAGACUCCUGGAGAGGAAUCUGAGUGGCGAGACCACCUGCAUUCAUUAUGUGUCAACUCUGCCAGGUGACAGUCCCCAGUGAGCCCAUCAAACAUGAACCUAGGUGCUGUUGGGAAGGUCUUUGGAUGCCAUUAACAUCUACAAUCAGUUGGUUUUCAGUAGAGGAGAUUAUCCUCAAGAAUGUGGGCGGGCCUCAUCCAGUGAGCUGAAAGGCCUUGAGAGCAGAACUAGGAUUUUGGAGGAGGAUGAAGUGUUGCCUCCGGACCGCAGCGUCACCUCUUGCCUGGGAAUUUCCAGCUUCCUUUUCAGACUUCGGACUUGCCUCCAAGCUCCCUGAAUCUUUUCAUAUAUUUAUGUCCUAUUGCAGAUUGUGUUUCUCUGGCUGGACUGUAACUGAUGAGGAGGACUGAAAUUCCAGGCUUGGUUGUAUAGCAUAUAAGUGAGGUCAUUUGGGUCUGGGGAGCUGGGGGGGGGGUCCUUCAGCUGCAUGAGUGUGACCUGCACCAAGGUGCCUGGCUACCUGGGGCGAGGGGGCUGCCAUCUAGCCCACACCCCACUCCUAGGCCGUGCACCCUGGCAUGGGUCUAUGUCUGGCUCAAGGAAGGGUUCCCUCCUCCCUCCAAUGUGCACAGAGACCUUGAGAUCCCAUCCACCUAACCCUGUGCCCUCAGAAGCCUCCUCUGAGAGGGGGCACCUUUUCCUAAUUCUCACAAAGGCUAGUGGCUACCUUGUAGAUAGCCUUGGAUGUGUUAGGACACUUUUCUGAACAUCAGUUCCUUAUCUGUAAGAUGGGAGUUGUGUCCUCAAUGGGUAAUUAGAGAUUAUUCAUGGGAAAUCCUAUCACGGUAUCUACCACGGGGAGACUCACAAGUGCUGAUCUUUGCUGGUGUUGCUGCAUUUGUUAUUGAAUGCAUUCGUUAGGAGUCUUGUUAGUAAGUGACAAAAAUCCAACUCAAAUUGGCUUACACUAAACAAGUUUCCUGCAUCUGGGAGUAUAAAGGGUG
rnacentral:lncRNA from 1 species